UCACUUUGCCGCAGUUACAAAGGUUGUAGCUUCAUCGUUUAGGUUCAUCUUCAUUCGCGUAGUCUGGGGGCGUCCUCGCUUCUGUGUCGAUUUUGCGGUGCUUGUAUCGGUGUUGUUCAUGGCAGGGUCGAGCUCGAGGAGUUCUAAGCGACUUAGAGGGCCUAGGAAGUUAGUCUUGCAAUGGAUGCCUCCAGAAAAUCAAGAGCUGCUUUUGCAGCUGCUGAUCCAAGAAAAGGAGAGGCCCUGUGCAAAGAGGGUAUGCUAUCCGUUCGAAAAGCCCUGGAUUUCAACUUCCAGGAUGUGGAUGGGUUUCUGCAUCUUGUCCGCAUCACAAUGAAAGCAAUAUAAUAUAGGCAUAUAGCGCUGAAAUGUAAGCAUGCAAAACAUGUUUUUGCUCCCCUCUGUUGAUACAGUGGAAGCAGAUAGAUUGGAUCAUUUAGAAAGAGAUUUACCAGGAUGACUGAAAUUCAAAUAUGAGAGUCAUUCAUUUUUUGACCCUGUAUGUAUAGUAAUAGCUGAAUUCUAUUAAGAUAUUCUUUAAUGCCUCCUCGGGUUUCUUCUAAAUAACUAAAGAUCUUCGAUCGAAGAGGUAGUGGUUUGAGUCCCAUACCAUUGCGAACUCAUUAUUUGAUUACUGAUCCUGGUAACCCGUUUCUCCAACCAUGAGUCAUAAGCAUCCGGAUUGAGUUUUAGGCUCUCAGGUCAUAUUGUACAGUUUAUGCUUUGCAAUUGAGACUAUUGAUAGAUUGUUUUUUACAUAAAGACGGAAAAAUGACUAAAUACAUACAGCUCUAAAAUGCAAAAUCAGCAGUUGUUCUGGUGUAUGGCUUUGCAAGCCUCCACCUUUCCACCUUUGCCUUGUCACUUUUUUAGCAUUUUUUUAUGAUCUGCAAAUGAUUCUGCAAAACCUCAUAUUUGAUCUUGGUG